rnacentral:rRNA from 1 species
AUAGGAUGGACAUGCGUCGCAUUAGGUAGACGGCGGGGUAACGGCCCACCGUGCCGACGAUGCGUAGGGGUUCUGAGAGGAAGGCCCCCCACACUGGUACUGAGACACGGACCAGACUCCUACGGGAGGCAGCAGUGAGGAAUAUUGGUCAAUGGCCGAGAGGCUGAACCAGCCAAGUCGCGUGAGGGAAGAAUGUCCUAAGGAUUGUAAACCUCUUUUGUCGGGGAGCAAAAAGGCUCUGCGGAGUCGUAUUGAGAGUACCCGAAGAAAAAGCAUCGGCUAACUCCGUGCCAGCAGCCGCGGUAAUACGGAGGAUGCGAGCGUUAUCCGGAUUUAUUGGGUUUAAAGGGUGCGCAGGCGGCGUGUCAAGCAAGCGGUAAAAUAGCGGGGCUCAACCCCGUCGAGCCGUUUGAACUGGCGCGCUUGAGUUCAGGCGAGGUAGGCGGAAUUCGUGGUGUAGCGGUGAAAUGCAUAGAUAUCACGAAGAACUCCGAUUGCGAAGGCAGCUUACCAGUCUGCGACUGACGCUCAGGCACGAAAGUGUGGGUAUCGAACAGGAUUAGAUACCCUGGUAGUCCACACAGUAAACGAUGAGCGCUAGGUGUCCGGGUCGCAUGAGACUUGG